AAUACGGCUUGUCACGUCGAUUGACGGUUGAAAGCCAAAAGGAACUCGCCAAGCUAUUUGUCGCCGGAGCUAGAAGUCGUCGGGGAUUGAAGGAAGAAAUUUUGCAGAACUGAUAGUUGGGAGAGAGUUAAGAGAGAGAGAAAGGAGAGAGAUGCAUGAUUUAGAAAGGAGAGGGGUCUAUGUUGAUUUGUAUUUUUAAAAAGAUUAGAAAGUUUUGAAAAUAUUAAUCAAGUCCACAAUUAACUUAAUCAAGUUUUCUAAUUUUGUUUGACCCUUUAAGUUGUUCAAUGUCACCAAUCCUUCAUUCAAGACUUAAAAGACACCUUUCCUUCAAUUUUCUCGACUUACUUUCUUACAGAUUUGAUUCAGAAAUUUCAUUUUUUUUCUAAAAAUAAAGGUAGAAAUUACUACGUCCAUUUAUUAACUAGUCUUUUUAAAGCAAGAUGACUUGAAUAAAUAAUUUUCUAAACUUAAGAUUCACUAAUCUUUUUAAAAAGGUCACUUCUAUAGACUACUUAGGAGUUAAUCGUAAAAAUAUGACAAUAAUAUCUCAUUUAAAAGAUCAGUACAUAAGGAAAUUAUAAAACAAUAAAUUAAUAAAGAUAUCUCAAACAAAGUAAUAAUGAACAUAAAGUUAAUUGUCAUUCUAAAAAUAUAAUAUUAAAGUAAAUUAGUGGAGAAUGGCUUAAAGGGGGAGGGGGGUACUAGACUCCAUUUCGGAGUUUGAGUUUCAAGUAUUGCAAUUCCAAAGCUCAUCCUAAUAGAAAUUGACCCAAUUAGUUGGCUCAAAACGAGUUCCGUUGCGGAACUCCCAACUCCCGAGUUCAUGCAAAAUAGAAAAAGGGUAAAGAUUAGCAACAAUAAAAAAAAUAUAGAUGCGAAAUUAAAAUGGAACAUGCUUACUGGAGGCACUUUACAAGAAUAAGACAUUUUCAGUGGAUGUAGCAUUACAUAAACUUAAGCCUAAGCCUUAGCAAAUCAGUGAUGGUGACUAAGAGAGUCAAUUUGUGAGAUAGCAAUGCAUUAUAGAUAAUGAGAGUUAAUAUUGCUGACACCAUAGGCUUUCUAGUUUCCCUUUUUGUGAACUUUUGAACCUUAACAACUUCAUGUGUAGUCAUCGCAUACAUUUAUUUGACAAUUAUUUCAAAUACGAAACUUCUCAAACACGUCACCAAAGCAUACCCCGAGAAUUAGAUCAACACUAAACGUAUUGUUUUUUUUUUGCGCAAAGCUCAAAUAUGAAAGAGACAUAUUUCAUAUUUCGAAUCAAGUGAUGCAAUUUAUUUGACAACUUUUGCACGUAUCUACACAUCCAUAGGUUUACACGAAAAAUCAAACUUUCAGAAUCGAACUUAUGCUUAUCCAUGAAAUUAGGAACAGAAUAACCGACGCCGGCAGAACAAAACCAAAUAUCCAUGAAAGCAAAAAUAGGUGAGAAUGAACAAACAGGAAUGAAACAAGAAGUAGCCCCACACCACCGUAACCAGAUUUUGAAGCCAAAAUAUCGCGUAUUCACUUCCCAAAAUUAGAAUCGAUAAUACCAACUAAAUAAAAUUUGCAUAUUCACCCACUAAUUUGCUUUACAAAAGCAUCAAAAAACACGGACUCAACAAAACACAAACAAAAAAUGGAAAAACAGUCGCGUACGAAUCCAGUGUCCAGAUCAGUCAUCGACAGUUUAGGCAUUAAAAAAUUCGCACAACCAUCCAUUCACAACGACAUCAACACAAAAAUUCCAAUGAAUUUAGACUAAACUAUAAAACAAAAAUGGAAGUGAGACGAUAAAAGAGACUCGCACCUUUGUUGGCGCAGUAAAUUGGAGUUUUUGGUUAAAUAUUCCAGCUACUAAAUUCAACUAUGGGCUCAAAAUUUGGACUGGAAAUUGAAAGUAAAUGUUCAUUUGAGACCCCUUUGUUUUACUGGUUUCUCCCCGUUUUCUCUUUUUCUGAUUGACCUAUAAAAUUUUCCACGAACAAACACUUUACUGCUUUUUUUUUUUUUGAAUUCUACGGCUCCCAACAAACCUAAUUUUCACUCCUUUUUUUUGAAUUCUCUCUGUUUUCUCUUAAAUUCGCUCGUUUUUUUUUCUUGCGAUUUUUCCUUCUUCCUUUUUUUUUUCUCUCCCUCCAUGGGUGAAGAACACACACAUAUGUAUAGCCAAAAAGUCCGAAUUUGAAACUUCAAAAUAAAAAAAAACAGACAGAGAAGAAAGGGGGGAAUUUGAAGCAAAAAUCUUUUGAAAUCGACUUUUCGAGGACAUCACUGGUAGAUUCAAAAUCAAAAUAAGGUUUUUGCAUCAUUUUGGGACUAACCUUUAGUUUGAGUUGUGACCUGAAUUUUAUUGAUUUGAUCCAGAAAGUUUUGCGGUGUUAUCCAUGCUUGUGAUGUUCAAUGGGGUCUGCGGUAGAGUAGGGAUCAGGCCUUCAUGGACCUUUAUGUUUUUGGGCCUAAGACUUAUUUGUAUGCACAUACCAUAUAAGUGUAUUUAGUGGGUUGUUUUGGAUAUUCAGAAAAAUACGUCAUUGAGACAAUUCGUUUCUGCAUUGUACUCCUCUCCAUUAUAAUGAAACUCCUCUACCUCUGUUUGUGAUUUUUCUCACAAGGAUUUCCACAUAAAUCUGUGUUCUUAUUUUCUUUUGCUAGUGGUUUGCUUAAUCUGUCUGAAUCAUAACACCUUUCUCUAAUUUGGCAAUUCAUGGGCUGGUCAAGCCAAAAGUGGGCGAAUUUUGUAGACAUAGCGGCAGACAGCGGCCAGUUAUGGAAUUUUUAUUUUUUCUACUUUGGUAAUAGUGGAGGGGAGGUGGAAGAGAGGAGGGAAAUAGGCAGUGGUUUAGGUUGCAUUUUG
rnacentral:lncRNA from 1 species